AGUGAACGCUGGCGGUAGGCCUAACACAUGCAAGUCGAACGGCAGCACAGUAAGAGCUUGCUCUUACGGGUGGCGAGUGGCGGACGGGUGAGGAAUACAUCGGAAUCUACUUUUUCGUGGGGGAUAACGUAGGGAAGCUUACGCUAAUACCGCAUACGACCUACGGGUGCAAGCAGGGGAUCUUCGGACCUUGCGCGAUUGAAUGAGCCGAUGUCGGAUUAGCUAGUUGGCGGGGUAAAGGCCCACCAAGGCGACGAUCCGUAGCUGGUCUGAGAGGAUGAUCAGCCACACUGGAACUGAGACACGGUCCAGACUCCUACGGGAGGCAGCAGUGGGGAAUAUUGGACAGUGGGCGCAAGCCUGAUCCAGCCAUACCGCGUGGGUGAAGAAGGCCUUCGGGUUGUAAAGCCCUUUUGUUGGGAAAGAAAAGCAGCAGGUUAAUACCCCGCUGCUCUGACGGUACCCAAAGAAUAAGCACCGGCUAACUUCGUG
rnacentral:rRNA from 1 species